rnacentral:rRNA from 1 species
CAAGGAAUUUUCCCCAAUGGGCGCAAGCCUGAGGGAGCAACGCCGCGUGCAGGACGACGGCCUUCGGGUUGUAAACUGCUUUUGCGUGGGACGAUAACGACGGUACCACGCGAAUCAGCCCCGGCUAACUCUGUGCCAGCAGCCGCGGUAAUACAGAGGGUGCAAACGUUGCUCGGAAUGACUGGGCGUAAAGCGCGCGCAGGUGGCCCGUUAAGUCGGCUGUGAAAUCCCCUGGCUCAACCAGGGAAGUGCAGUCGAUACUGGCGGGCUCGAGUCCCGGAGAGGGUGGUAGAAUUCCCAGUGUAGAGGUGAAAUUCGUAGAUAUUGGGAGGAAUACCGGUGGCGAAGGCGACCGCCUGGACGGGUACUGACACUGAGGCGCGAAAGCGUGGGGAGCAAACAGGAUUAGAUACCCCUGUAGUCC